rnacentral:rRNA from 1 species
AUUGAACGCUGGCGGCAUGCCUUACACAUGCAAGUCGAACGGCAGCACGGGUGCUUGCGCCUGGUGGCGAGUGGCGAACGGGUGAGUAAUACAUCGGAACGUACCUUAUCGUGGGGGAUAACGCAGCGAAAGCUGUGCUAAUACCGCAUACGCCCUGAGGGGGAAAGCGGGGGAUCGCAAGACCUCGCGCGAUUAGAGCGGCCGAUGCCUGAUUAGCUAGUUGGUGGGGUAAAAGCCCACCAAGGCGACGAUCAGUAGCUGGUCUGAGAGGACGAUCAGCCACACUGGGACUGAGACACGGCCAAGACUCCUACGGGAGGCAGCAGUGGGGAAUUUUGGACAAUGGGGGCAACCCUGAUCCAGCAAUGCCGCGUGAGUGAAGAAGGCCUUCGGGUUGUAAAGCUCUUUUGUCAGGGAAGAAACACCGGCUCUAACACAGUCCGGGAAUGACGGUACCUGAAGAAUAAGCACCGGCUAACUACGUGCCAGCCGCCGCCGUAA